UACGAAGGGGGGCUAGCGUUGUUCGGAAUCACUGGGCGUAAAGCGCACGUAGGCGGAUCGUUAAGUCGGGGGUGAAAUCCCAGGGCUCAACCCUGGAACUGCCUUCGAUACUGGCGAUCUUCGAGUCCGGGAGAGGUGAGUGGAACUCCGAGUGUAGAGGUGAAAUUCGUAGAUAUUCGGAAGAACACCAGUGGCGAAGGCGGCUCACUGGGACGGUAUUGACGCUGAGACGCGAAAGCGUGGGGAGCAAACAGG
rnacentral:rRNA from 1 species